GAUGAACGCUGGCGGCGUGCCUAAUACAUGCAAGUCGAGCGAACGGACGAGAAGCUUGCUUCUCUGAUGUUAGCGGCGGACGGGUGAGUAACACGUGGAUAACCUACCUAUAAGACUGGGAUAACUUCGGGAAACCGGAGCUAAUACCGGAUGAUAUUUUGAACCGCAUGGUUCAAAAGUGAAAGACGGUCUUGCUGUCACUUAUAGAUGGAUCCGCGCUGCAUUAGCUAGUUGGUAAGGUAACGGCUUACCAAGGCAACGAUGCAUAGCCGACCUGAGAGGGUGAUCGGCCACACUGGAACUGAGACACGGUCCAGACUCCUACGGGAGGCCGCAGUAGGGAAUCUUCCGCAAUGGGCGAAAGCCUGACGGAGCAACGCCGCGUGAGUGAUGAAGGUCUUCGGAUCGUAAAACUCUGUUAUUAGGGAAGAACAUAUGUGUAAGUAACUGUGCACAUCUUGACGGUACCUAAUCAGAAAGCCACGGCUAACUCCGUG
rnacentral:rRNA from 1 species